GGUUAAGCGACUAAGCGUACACGGUGGAUGCCCUGGCAGUCAGAGGCGAUGAAGGRCGUGCUAAUCUGCGAUAAGCGCCGGUAAGGUGAUAUGAACCGUUAUAACCGGCGAUWYCCGAAUGGGGAAACCCAGUGUGACUCGUCACACUAUCAUUAACUGAAUCCAUAGGUUAAUGAGGCGAACCGGGGGAACUGAAACAUCUAAGUACCCCGAGGAAAAGAAAUCAAC
rnacentral:rRNA from 1 species